rnacentral:rRNA from 1 species
AGCUCCAAUAGCGUAUAUUAAAGUUGUUGCAGUUAAAAAGCUCGUAGUUGGAUUCUGGGAGGGUGCCGAUGUCCGCUUAACGUGUGUGCAGCGGCGCCUCUCAUCCUUCUGUUAGCGUCUCUUGGCAUUCAUUUGCUGGUGGCGGGCUCAGAUAUUACCUUGAGAAAAUUAGAGUGUUUCAGGCAGCUAGGCCGGAAUAC